GCAGUAGUGGCCUACUGGCUAGCGCUUCGGAUUUGUAACUGGAUGGUUGCUGGUUCGAACCCAGACCAGUGGG
rnacentral:tRNA from 1 species